rnacentral:lncRNA from 1 species
CUGGCAUAAAAGACUGGACCUCAAGAAAUCAUUUUGUUCACCCUUCAGUCCCAGGCAGGAUCAGCUGUCCUUCAGCUGUAUCUGGGUGAUAUUUUUCUGACUUCUCCCAGUCAGCCUGUGGUGGAGAUCCUAAAAUGUUCCUGGAUAGCCUGUCCAGGAGAUGAACUAUCAGCCAGAGGGAACCCUUCCCAAUGCCCCUCCUCCCCCCAGCUCCCUUUCCUGUAAGAUAAGCCCAGCACUUCUUGUGAUAGCAAGCAUGGACAAAGAAAUCUUAUUGCAUUUCUCUGCGCAGCACGCUUUGAAAGGACUUUGCUUUGCUGCCUGCAACUUCCAGGUAACACUUACAGAACAAUGAGGAGGCAUCGAUGCUGGGAGAGCAUUGCAGUCCCACUGCCAUUCUUCAAGAUCCUACAAGGAAAACCUGAUCCAUGCUUCGCCCUUCUUGGGAUUCUCCAUGCACCUUACAAGCACAGAAAGAUUCCAUGGCCAACCAAAGGCCAUUUUGGCCAGCAGACACCAAGGCUGCACUGCGUCCCUCCGCAGCAGCAGCACCCUAUGAGCUGGAUGUGUGAUGCUGUGGCCUCUGCUGCCUGGAUGCUGCGAGUGGGAGCUGUGCUGCCUUCUCUUCCUUCUCCCACUUACAAUAUGUGGGCCCUGCACUCCCAUUUUCUUACGCCAGGCCUGGCUCCUUGCAGCAGCUCUGAAGCACCAGGAGGUGCUGGGUAA